rnacentral:snRNA from 1 species
AGUUUUGUGCAGUGGCAGUAUCAUAGCCAAUGAGGUUUAUCAGAGGCAUGAUUAUUGCUAAUUGAAAUAAACUAGAAAAA